UACGUAGGGGGCUAGCGUUGUCCGGAUUUAUUGGGCGUAAAGAGCGUGUAGGCGGCCAGGUAGGUCUGCUGUGAAAACUCGAGGCUCAACCUCGAGACGCCGACGGAAACCAUCUGGCUAGAGUCCGGAAGAGGAGAGUGGAAUUCCUGGUGUAGCGGUGAAAUGCGCAGAUAUCAGGAAGAACACCCGUGGCUAAGGCGGCUCUCUAGUACGGUACUGACGCUGAGACGCGAAAGCAUGGGGAGCGAACAGG
rnacentral:rRNA from 1 species